rnacentral:rRNA from 1 species
CCUACGGGUGGCAGCAGUGAGGAAUAUUGGUCAAUGGCCGGAAGGCUGAACCAGCCAAGCCGCGUGAAGGACGAAGGUGCCAAGCAUUGUAAACUUCUUUUGUCCAGGGACAAAAUCAGCCUCGAGAGCCUGACCGAGGGUACUUUAAGAAAAAGCAUCGGCUAACUCCGUGCCAGCAGCCGCGGUAAUACGGAGGAUGCGAGCGUUAUCCGGAUUUAUUGGGUUUAAAGGGUGCGCAGGCGGAAGAUCAAGUCAGCGGUAAAAUGGCGAGGCUCAACCGCUUCGCGCAGUUGAAACUGGUUGUCGUGAGUGAGUGAGAAGUAGGCGGAAUGCGUGGUGUAGCGGUGAAAUGCAUAGAUAUCACGAAGAACCCCGAUUGCGAAGGCAGCAUACCGGCGCUCAACUGACGCUCAGGCACGAAAGUGUGGGUAUCGAACAGGAUUAGAUACCCGGGUAGUC